GCUUAAAAGAAGAAAAACUACCACAACAAGAGGACAUAGUCUUAAAUUAGAGGGACAAAGGUUUAAAAAUAAUAUCAGGAAGUAUUACUUUACUGAGAGGGUAGUGGAUGCAUGGAAUAGCCUUCCAGCUGAAGUGGUAGAGGUUAACACAGUAAAGGAGUUUAAGCAUGCGUGGGAUAGGCAUAAGGCUAUCCUAACUAUAAGAUAAGGCCAGGGACUAAUGAAAGUAUUUAGAAAAUU